GACGAACGCUGGCGGCGUGCUUAACACAUGCAAGUCGAACGGAAAGGCCCUGCUUUUGUGGGGUGCUCGAGUGGCGAACGGGUGAGUAACACGUGAGUAACCUGCCCUUGACUUUGGGAUAACUUCAGGAAACUGGGGCUAAUACCGGAUAGGCGCUCCUGCUGCAUGGUGGGGGUUGGAAAGGUUCGGCGGUUGGGGAUGGACUCGCGGCUGAUCAGCUUGUUGGUGGGGUAGUGGCUUACCAAGGCUUUGACGGGUAGCGGGCCUGAGGGGGUGACCGGCCACAUUGGGACUGGGAUACGGCCCAGACUCCUACGGGAGGCAGCAGUGGGGAAUAUUGCACAAUGGGCGGAAGCCUGAUGCAGCAACGCCGCGUGCGGGAUGACGGCAUUCGGUUUGUAAACCGCUUUCGCCUGUGACGAAGCGUGAGUGACGGUAAUGGGUAAAGAAGCACCGGCUAACUACGUG
rnacentral:rRNA from 1 species